rnacentral:antisense_RNA from 1 species
UGUUAUGGCAGCUGUGCGUGGGAGACCUUUGGGUCUGCCGGUUCAGUAGUUCUCGGUUCGCCAACCUGCGUACAGCUGCCACCUGA